rnacentral:rRNA from 1 species
AUUGAACGCUGGCGGCAGGCCUAACACAUGCAAGUCGAACGGUAACAGGAAGAAGCUUGCUUCUUUGCUGACGAGUGGCGGACGGGUGAGGAAUGUCUGGGAAACUGCCUGAUGGAGGGGGAUAACUACUGGAAACGGUAGCUAAUACCGCAUAACGUGGCAAGACCAAAAAGGGGGACCUUCGGGCCUCUUGCCAUGGGAUGUGCCCAGAUUGAUUUAGAUUGUAGGUGGGGUAACGGCUCACCUAGGCGACGAUCCGUAGCUGGUGUGUGAGGAUGACGAGCCCCCCUAGAACUGAGACGCGACCCAGACUCCUACGGGAGGCAGCAGUGCGGAGUGUUGCACAAUGGGCGCAGGUAUGAUGCAGCCCUGCCACGUGUAUGAAGAAGGCCUUCGGGUUGUAGAGUACUUUCAGUGGGGAGGAAGGAAGUAAAGUUAAUCCCUUUGCUAAUUGACGUUACCAGAAGAAGAAGCACCGGCUAACUCCGUG